GCUGCUGCUGCUCUGGCUGCUGCUGCGCUGCUGGCCACGGCAUACAAGACGAGAAAGAGAGAGAGAGCGCUGCGACGCGUCGUACGUGGAGCAUCUCGUGAACGCCUCCUCUCCAGGAUAACUCCAGCCGAGCAGGCAGCACACGCAGGCACGUCUCCUGGAGCGCGGAGCCUAACCUUACGAGUGAGAGAGAGAGAGAGAGAGAGAGAGAUACGCUGCGCUGGACCGCGAGGACGUGAAAAGUGACAGUGCUUUCCGCCGCUGAACUGACGUGGACCAACCGGUUGUGUGUUGUUGUUGUCUGUGCGCGCUAAAUCGUAGAUCGGCACUGGGCCUACUGGGAUGUCGCGUCUGCCGGCGACGGCCUCGUCCCGUCCAGUCGACCAAGGAGCAGCAGUGCCAGCAGCAUCGGCCAGGAGCGCGCCGGUAGCGGAGAUGUGAACCGACAACCGAGGAGGGACGCCCAGUAGUUUGUAGUCAAGCAACACCAAAGUCCAAGCGCGGCCUUCCUCGAGGACACCAGAGCGCACGCCAUAUUACAAGCCGUCUCCACACGCACAUACUCACACUUGUCUCCUUCUCGAAGCUUCCGAGAUAUGAACCUCUGCAAAGUCCUAACCUCAUUCGACGCUUCCGUAAAUGUGCCAUACAGAAACCUCGAGCAGCAGCCUGUGAUAGCGAGGACCAGCAGCAGCAACGAGUGUGCCUAGUUUUAUAAUAAUUUGUUUUUGUUGGAUCUUUCUUUUUUUACUCAUCUACCGUCGCCUGCGUACGUAUAUACCUGCAUAAGUGGAUAAUUCGCCCGAAUCGAGAGCCAAGACAGAAUGUCAACUUGCACCGAACCUGACAACGCAGCCGCUCUUCACAUGCAGGAAACUCUCUCACCGGUCCAGGAGGGUCCCGUGUCGCCGGCCUCCUCCUCGCUGAGCAAUCCCACGCAGUCGGACCCGAGCGAGCAGGUGCUGCUCGCGACGAUGCAGCCGGUGAGCGUGCUCGAGCUGCACGAGCCUCACCACGUGGCCCUGCACCCCAAGUACCAUCACCACCAUCACCACCAUCAUCACCAUCACCCCAAGUACAGUCACCACCUGCAGCACGCCACCAGCAAUCACCAUCACCAGUCGAGCUUGCAGCAGCAGCAGCAAGCGGCCGAGGCCGACGAGCCCCAGCAGCAGACCGACCCCGAGGACGGCCGAGUCAGCCCCGAGCCCGGCGUCGGCGAGCACAAGAUGAUCGACCUCAUCUACAACGACGGCCAGAAGACCGUCAUGUAUACCCACGACAAGGAGAUCAUCUACGAGAGCGAGGCCGACCGGGUGCAGGUGGUCGAGUACCCACCGCCCCCGCCAUCGCCGCCCACGCCCUCGCCCCCCUCGGUCAGGAACAACGGGGCGAGCGCCGCCGGACUCAUCCCGGUCAACUACGUGGCCAAGGCAGCCAACGGGGCGCCGGCCGGUGCCACCACGCUGCACCUGCACUACCCGCAGCUGCACCUGCAGCACGAUCAGGACCUGCCGAGGGCCCUGGCCAACGGUACCGCCGUCUCCGUCGCUGGGGGUGCGCCGACCACCACCACCGUUCUCGUCCUGUCCGAGCUGGUCGCCGCUGAUCCCGGUCAGGGAGGAGCUCAGGCCCAUCUCGCUCUGCCGCUCGCCACCGCUGCCUCUCUCCGCACUGUAAGGCGCAGUCGCAGCGAGGAGGAUCCUGGCGUCGUGCAGGUCAACGAGGACGGGCAGCAGGUGCCAACUCCUGGGCAGACUUACACCCGUGAUCCCGACGACGCGGAGGACGAGCAGCAGCAGCAGCAGCAGCAGCAGCAACAACAGCAACAGUUGCAAGCCGCCAACGGCGGCGGUGAUCAGGAGCAAGCGGCUUCGACUGCCGCAGAGCAACAGCAGCAGAACGGUAGCGACGAUCCGGAAGUACAGAAAAGGGUCGCCGCGGUGCAGGUGCAGGUGCAGGGCAUGGAGGGCGACUGGCGGGCCUACUGCGAGCACCCGCUGUCGGUCGCCACCGCGGCCAUGCUCAACCUCCAGCAGCAGCACCAAGUCACGGCCGUCGCCGGUCAUCCGGCUGACGAGGCCAGCUAUGUCUACGAGUACUACACCAAGCUCCCGGACAAGGCUUCCGAUGUCAAGCUGCCGCCUACCCACGAGCUUUGGUCCACGGGCGUGAUGGGCCAGAAGCUGCUGGUGCAGGAGGCGCCGGCCGGCGGAGCUACGCGCAUGGAGACCGGCAACGAGGGCUCCGGCGGCGAACUCCACCACUUCCUCCACCAGUACAACCAGCAGUCGCACAGCCCGGGCCAGGCUCUGCAGGGCGGACUGCCGAUGCCACUCAGUCCGCAGUCGCAGCAGGCAGCGAUCGCCGGAGUGAAGCGCGAACCCGAGGACCUCAGCUCCUCGAGGACCGGACAGCAGUCGGCGAAGAGACACAAGCAGAACCAGCAGCCCGACAGUCCCACGCCGCCGGGCAUGUACCAUCAUCAGCACCACCAGCUGCAGUACGGCAGCCCGUACGACCCAUACGGCUCGUGCAGUCCGAGACUGCAGACGACGUACACGUCAGGCUCGUCGAACAACGGCAACGGUGCCAACGGCUCGAACAACGGCCCCACGAGUUUGCACCAGGAGGCGACGGCGGUCUACGUCACAGGCGACGCGUUGCCACCCCUCGUCUCCUCGGGCUCGACGUCCCUGCCCACCUCGACGGCCUCUUACACGAGGUACGAGGUCGUGCCAAGCUCCUACGCCACCACGCACGCUAUCCGCUCGUCAUCGAGCAGCAGCAAGGUGCUCACCGUCGAUCUGCCCAGUCCGGACUCGGGUAUCGGCGCCGAUGCCGUCACGCCCAGACAGGAUCACCAUCAGCCAACCGCGCUGCAUCAGUCGUCGUUCGACUACACGGAGCUGUGCUCGGGUGGCGCGGGCUCGGGUUCGGCUGUUGUCCUCGAGGGCGGCACUGUCCUCCACCACCAGCCACUACAGCUGCAGCUCCAGCAGGGUCAUGCGCAGGCAGCCCAAGUACAACGAGGUACCGGAACCCUCGUGGCCAGCGGCGCGACGACCCCCAACUCGAACCCCAACCCACCAAGGUCGCGGCCCUGGCACGACUUUGGUCGACAGAACGACGCCGACAAGAUCCAGAUACCAAAACUCUAUUCGGCCUACGGCUUUAAGUACCACCUGGAGUCGCCCAUCAGCACCUCGCAGCGCCGCGAGGACGACAGGAUAACCUACAUCAACAAGGGCCAGUUCUACGGCAUCACGCUGGACUACGUACCGGAUCCGGACAAGCCUCUCCUAAAAGCGGGACAGACCGUCAAGAGCGUGGUUAUGCUGAUGUUCCGGGAGGAGAAGAGCCCGGAAGACGAGAUCAAGGCGUGGCAGUUCUGGCACGGCAGGCAGCACUCCGUCAAGCAGCGUAUCCUCGAUGCAGACACAAAAAACAGCGUGGGCUUAGUGGGCUGCAUCGAGGAGGUAGCGCAUAAUGCGAUCGCCGUUUAUUGGAAUCCGCUCGAGUCUUCAGCUAAGAUAAACGUUGCUGUGCAAUGCCUCAGCACAGACUUCUCCAGUCAAAAGGGAGUAAAAGGUCUACCUCUUCACAUACAAGUCGACACUUACGAAGAGCCGCCACCGCACGCUCACGCCUACACGCCACCAUCCCACCGAGGCUACUGCCAAAUCAAAGUUUUCUGCGAUAAGGGUGCUGAAAGAAAGACCCGAGACGAGGAGAGGCGAGCAGCCAAGAGGAAAAUGACAGCAACGGGACGCAAGAAGCUGGACGAGCUCUAUCACUCCGUGACAGAACGAAGCGAAUUCUAUUCGAUGUCAGAUCUUCAUAAGCCUCCAGUGCUAUUUUCUCCACCAGCUGAACACGCUAUAGACAAGUUCUCGACGAUGGAGUUGUCGGGCUUCUACGGAGGCGGCGGCGGUGGCGGUGGCGGCGGCGAGACCGAUACUUCCUCGCUGAGUAACGGCGAGGCCGGUGGUCUCAAGACCAGCGCCGGUGGCAGCCCGUACGGCCAGUCUGGUGCCGGUCGUGCUAGUCUGCCUGCCCUCAAGUUUCACAAUCACUUCCCGCCCGACAAUCUGAGCACAAUUCACGACAAGAAGGACUCACUACUGAUGCAGGUGCAGGAGCUGCAGGGCUCGGUGCUGCAGAGCGUGCAGCCCGGCCUUACAAGUAGUCAGCUCAUCGGUGGUGGUACUCUCGGUAACCGGCUUCACAUGCAGCCGCACAUGCGCGGCACCGAUGCAGAGGAGCGAGUUAUGUUGUACGUCAGACAGGAGUCCGAAGACGUGUACACGCCGCUUCACGUCACACCGCCCAGUGUUCAAGGACUCCUCAAUGCUGGAACUUCAGGGCCUUAUAUCGGAGUCUGAUGUAUCCUUCAGAUCUCUCUCAACGCAGAAAAUUAGAUUGAGUCAAAGUACAAAAUUGCAUCCUCGAGUAUUAAUAACCUCUAUCGCAAAAACACAAAGGGAAUUACAGCGAAAAUUGACGACGACAUGAUCCGCUACUAUGUGGACGAGGACAUGUUCCUGCUGGAGGUAUCACAUUCACGACUAACGCCUGAACAGCAGCAGGAGCGCUCGAAUCGCAAUGGUGGAAACUCACCUUCGGAUCCAAAUGAUGGUCUCGAACCCGGUUACGACGUCACUCUCAUAGAGCUGCCCAUCACUCCACAACAGACGAUGGCGUCUGCCUCGCCUCACCAGGCGGCCGUUGUGCAACACCACGUCACCGCUACGUGAGCUGCUACUGAAUCUGAUCCAUUGAAUCGCUGUACACUUCAUAAUAUUGUGAUGCGUUGAGAGAACAAGAGGAAUGUGAGAUUUUUUUGAAAAAAAUGAACUAUAUACUGAUUCUGUCACUCUGAUGAAAUGUGCGGAAUCUGACACGCUGGGACACGGUAUAGAGGAAAUUGUGGUAUAAGUGCCUUAGAGUUGAUUAAGUGAGAUUCAAAGGAAUAUGUGAGGCAGUAUAUUAAAAUUGUAAAGAUUUGGAAUAAUCAUAAUAGAGCGUGUACUUAUUUGUGAUGCGGUGAUUGUAAUGAAUUUCAAUUUUACGGUGAUGAUAAUUAAUUAGAGUAUACGUGUAAAUUAGAUUGAAGCGGUUGAAAAAUUGUAAAUAAUAUAAAAAUUUAAUUUCAAUUGUAAAAUUAUUCACUAUACUUUUCAGUAUCUCACUUUUCGAAUACUGUGUAGUGCAAGGUAUUAUAUUUUAUCUCAGUGUAAUGUCACAGUAACAAAAACUUAUGUUAAGCGAAACAAGACUUUGUGACUGUCAUGACAUUUUGUUAGGACUACAAAGAAAUAUUUCUCGGUGAAUGUCGAAUAUACGACGGUACUGUGUUUGUUUUUUUCUUUUUAUAUUAUGAUUAUUACAUUAUUAUUUUUAUUAUUAAUAUUAUUAUCAUCAUUAUUAUUAUCAAUAUGAGAGAGCAAAAGGCGUUUUAACGACCUUUGAUCAAUCAAAAUAUAUGAUGACUGCGAAACUAUCGCUUCGAGUGUUUCAGUUUCAUGUUUAUUUUUGUUAAGAUGCACGUAUGACGUAUGUAUGGUGGUGAUAAUAUAUCAGGAAUGAGUAGCACCGUAUUCAUUUUAUUAUUAUAUAUGUACUUAUAGAACUUGUUUACUCAUAUGUCAAAAAACAGAUCUAUCGUUAGUUUUAUAUAUAUAUAUGCGUAUGUUGUGCGUAUUCCUUAAGAGAAGAACGUUUACUGCGGCGUUGUGACUUACAAAAUGUUGACGAGAUGAGCUCGCUAAAAAAAUGAAAACAAAUAUAAAGAUAAGAGAAAAAUAUUGUUUCCAUAGUUAAGCGCGCGUGUUACUUUCGAGUUUGACUCGAAUUAAUUAUUAUGGAUUAUAUUGAGAAAUAUAUGUGCUUGUACGAAGGCGCGGAAAAUGUGUACAAUUAAGGAAAGAAAUUACGAUCUAAUAAAGCAAGGAUGUUUAUCAUCCCAUGGCGUGCAAUUUUUGAAGCGCUGCUUUGAGAAUGACUUGAUAUUAUUAAAAGAAUAUAAAUGAUCUAUAACGUAUUUAAAAUUUCAAAAGAAUAGAAAAAUUGUACAUUCCGUGAUUAUUCAUUGUGGACCUUGCCAUAAUAUUAGAAAAUAUAAAAAGGUUGGAGCAAAUAAGACAAUAUAAACAAUGCUUCCAUAUAUCUUUUUAUUAUUUAGCGACUAUCACCUCACGAAGGACACGACUUUUCACAUGUAAUUGAUUUAAUCUUUUACAAACGUAAAAUUCGUUAUUACGCAUGUCAAAGCAACGAUCAAAAUACGCUUGUAAAAUGCAUAUUAUACUAUUGAGUACUAUAUUUUGUUACAUUUAUUAUAGUUAUUAAUAUUAUGAUAUUAAUUCUAUCGAUACAAGAAAGAAGAAACCUACAUUGUAUGCGUACGUUGUUAUUUUUAUACAUAAAAAGGCAAAGAGAGGAAAAGAUAAUAAUGAAUUAAGAGCAUGAGUGCGCGAGAGAAAGAGCGAACAUGGAAAAGAAAAAAUUAGUAAAUGAAAGCGCUCAAAUAUUUCGCGUUAGUCCAUGACAUUAUAACGAUUACGUAUACGCGAAAGGUAUUUGACCGCCUCAUAGAGUAUAUCUUACCCUCUCGCGAUCAGCCAUUUUCUUUUUUAUUGCUACAUCUAUGCUACUAUCAGUUAAUUUUAAAUAAAAACGGCAAGAUAUUCUCGCGCCACGAGGAAACGUUUGUGCGUUUGUCUUAUAUCUGUUUUAUACAUAAUCUUGGAUGUAUUUGCGUGGAAAGGCGAAAACGGAAAAAAUUGUGUAAAUUAGUUCAUUGUUAUGUUGUAUUUUCAUCGAUCUCGUGCAGAACAUUAACGGAUAUUAUUUGUUUCGGCUUUUAAUGUACAUUUUUAAGACAAAAGAGAAUAUUCCAUAAAGAUUUAUUUUAUAUUUUAGUGACGUGUAAAAUAUCGUUUGCGAUCGAAUGCAAGAGUCGCAUUGACAAUAAAGGCCGGAAAUAAAAAUUUUACUCCGAUUCUGCAUCCCGAAUCGUUCUGAUUAUUUUUCGCGCAGAUCCUCGUGGUUCAGAUGCGAGGCCUGUUUGCAUAUCGUUGACCACUAUAAGUGCAUGUUACGCACGAUCGGUUCCCAUUUACUUCCUCCAUAAGCCCUUACUUCCCAAAAAAAGCAUGAAGCAGUAAUACGAUCCAUUAUCCUACUUCCACUUCCCUUUAGAUAUAGAUAUUUUGUUAGAUUGUACAUCCUUACGUAGUAUGCGGUUAGAGUUGCAUAUAUAGUCGACCGAUCGGUCUGCGGAAGCGUGCGGAAAAUGAAGAUUUAUAAGAAAAUUUGUCAAAUGUUACGUCGCGACGUCUUGCCAUCGUGAGAUUGUGCCAGAGGUGAUAUUAUAUUAUUACGAUGUUUAUUGAAACAAUAAAUAUUAUAUUAGUACGUUUUAUAAAUUA